rnacentral:tRNA from 1 species
GGCGGCAUAGCUCAGUUGGUCAGAGCGUCCGGUUCAUACCCGGUAGGUCGUAGGUUCGAAUCCCACUGCCGCUACCA